UCGAGAGAAGCCCACAGUCGCCCGUGCGUGCGAGCUCGUCGUCAAGCACACGCAUACGCAUACACGAGCUGCCUUGUACGACCUCUCUUGCUCCCUCCCGUAGUCUUAUUUUCCGCACGAGUGGUGGCCAUCAUUGCUGUCACGAGUACUGCUGCCGUCCUUGCGCCCCUCCUCCCCCCUUCCUUCACCUCACUUGAUAUCUCUUCGCUGCACCCUGUAUACGUGUAUCGCGCCCGUAGACCGUCUUCUUGCCACCCUCCCCCCUCCCUCACCCAACACCUUUCCUUCUGCCUCCUUACCCCCUCGUUAGGUUUACGUCUCGGGUUUUUGAGCACUUCCGUACGACACCGGCCCCACGUCACCUCGCCCCCUCCCCCUCCACCCACCCUCGCGGCUUCUCUGCCGCGGUCAGGAAGCCUACGCGCCUCAUCACCAGGCAGGCAAGAAUACCGUGAGAACUCGCCGACAAGUCCGCCACAGCCUACAGCAGGCAUCAUGGAUUCCUCUUCCGCAGCCGCUGAUGCUGGUGGCGCUGCUGCGCGAUCUGGGCUGCAUGUGUACUCCAGCGCGCAGGCGAACGCCGCCGGCUCCGGGACGGCGGCGCUGCCCAACAAGGCGCUGGAUCAUAUGAAGCACAUGUCGCGCAGCAAGAGCGACGCACGGCGAUCGGGUAGCAAGCGCACCUUCGAUGAAGCCACCGCGACGGACAACGUGCAGCUACGCCGUCACGAUGGCACGGCGGUGCCGAACACUGCACCAAACCAGGUGGUGGAGGUGGUGGCGCCGCCUCCCAAGAAGAAGAAGGUGACGUACGCGCUGCCGCACCAGAACAUGGAGGAGGGCCACUUCUACGUGGUGCUCGGCGAGGACAUCGACGUGUCGACGCAGCGCUUCAAGAUCCUGUCGCUGCUCGGCGAGGGCACCUUCGGCAAGGUGGUGGAGUCGUGGGACCGCAAGCGCAAGGAGUACUGCGCGGUGAAGAUCGUGCGCAACGUGCCCAAGUACACGCGCGACGCCAAGAUCGAGAUUCAGUUCAUGGAGAAGGUGCGCCAGGCGGACCCUGCCGACCGGUUCCCGCUGAUGAAGAUCCAGCGCUAUUUCCAGAACGACAGCGGCCACAUGUGCAUUGUCAUGCCCAAGUACGGCCCCUGCCUGCUGGACUGGAUCAUGAAGCACGGCCCCUUCAACCACCGCCACCUCGCGCAGAUCGUCUUCCAGACCGGCGUCGCGCUCGACUACUUCCACAGCGAGCUGCACCUCAUGCACACAGACCUCAAGCCCGAGAACAUCCUCAUGGAGACCAGCGACACCACCGUCGACCCCGCCACCAACCGCCACCUGCCGCCCGACCCGUGUCGCGUCCGCAUCUGCGACCUCGGCGGCUGCUGCGACGAGCGCCAUAGCCGCACCGCCAUCGUCUCCACGCGCCACUACCGCAGCCCCGAGGUCAUCCUCGGCCUCGGCUGGAUGUACUCCACCGACAUGUGGUCCAUGGGCUGCAUCAUCUACGAGCUCUACACCGGCAAGCUGCUCUACGACACGCACGACAACCUCGAGCACCUGCACCUCAUGGAGAAGACGCUCGGCCGCCUGCCGUCCGAGUGGGCCGCGCGCUGCGGCACGGAGGAGGCGCGCCUGCUGUACAACUCCGCCGGCCAGCUGCGGCCCUGCACCGACCCCAAGCACCUCGCCCGCAUCGCGCGCGCGCGGACGGUGCGCGACGUCAUCCGCGACGACCUGCUGUGCGACCUCAUCUACGGCCUGCUGCACUACGACCGCCAGAAGCGCCUCAACGCGCGCCAGAUGACCACGCACCCCUACGUGCUCAAGUACUACCCCGAGGCGCGCCAGGCGCCCAGCUACCCCGACAACCGCGCCAUGCUGCGCCCGCCGCCGAUCAUGUAGUGCCGACGGAAGCGUCCUGGGCGGCAUUGCGCAGGAGGACACCUUUUAGAAGGAAUUUAGAGGUGCGUUGCUGUUCGGACGAGGGCGUCAGUCUGUGUGCGUCUCUGAUACCGUUGAAGUGCGGCGAGUACUUUUCUGUUGUUUGGCUUGAGGGGCAGAGGAUGUGCACACGAGCGCGCACACACACACUGUCUCUGUUUGAGACACACCUAAAGGGGGGGAGUUGUAGCAAGUGAGCCAAUGAGCGUAUCACCAGCGAUGCCGGGCGGCACGCCAGGAUGUCUGUGCGUGUGUUUAUGUAUGGGUGUGUGUGUGCAUGUUGUACACAUAUGCAUGUGCAUGUAGGGCGUGCGCGUGAUAUGCCGGCCGCUUUCCACCUUCGCUUCGUCCUACCGUCUGUGUCAUGUAGGUGGUGGUGAGGAUGUGUGCGUGUGUGUGUUAGCCCUCUCCAUUUCACAAAGGUCUGCGGUUUGCUUGGGAUUGUCAGCGCCUCCCCUCCUCUCUGUCUCUCCGUCUGCCCCUUCCUCUCUCCCCCUCCCCUCCUCUCCUUUCUAUAGAUUCAUCGACGUCGGUUCCGUUGUCCUCUCCUUCCCACUGUUUCCUGUCGGUGUCGGUGUACGUCUGUUCGGGUUGGUACAUGUGCUGGGUGCAGCAGGUGGCUGUCUCCGCCCCCUCCCCCUCCCUCCUUCCGGGAGUGCAGCUGGUACGAAAAGCUGUUAAACAGGAGGCACAGACAUGCAGGGGAAGCCCCUAGCCCCCCCCCGUUCCUCUUGCCUGCUUGGUUUCGAGUAUAGUUGUCUGCCUAGAUGCUCUCCCCCCUCCUCCCCCAACCCCAUUUUUUUCUUAUGGCUGCACACGCCCUCGUGCGCUUGUCGGUUCAUGUUCAGUUGUUCCGGUUGUACGACGUCCCUCUCUCUGUGUAUAGGUAUAUCGGUGCCUGAGUCUCUCUGUACGCUCCCCUCCCCUUCCCUCCCUCCCUUCCCCCGAAUCUUCUCCUUCCCUCUUUCUUCUCUCGUUGCCUGUCCUCGGUCACCCCUCACCGCCGCUCUCACUUCGAUGUCCUCCUGCUCCUCCGUGCAAGGUGCGCGGGAGUGGGAGGAAGGGGGGAGUGUGGGGCGGCGGUAGCAGGCGCACGACCUUUCGAGACGGGGAAGCGAGGAGGCGAGCAGCACAUCCAAAACAAACAGUCAAGAAAAGGCGGUGAGCAUGCCGGGCGCAUGUGGUGCGUGGGGCGUCGACUUCAAGAGCGUUGUAGAAGAGGGAAGACGGACAAAAGCCAGCACACGCCUGUACAUGUGUGGAUGGGUGUGAGUGUACCUGCCGCGCAUCCGCAUCUCCCUCGUGUGGAGGUGUGACUACUUCUCCCCUCCCCCUCCCUCAGCCCACCUCGCGCCGUUCACGUCACACCACGACCCGUCGGCGCUGGUGUUUCUCAUCGCUGAUGGCGGUUAUGUCACGGAUGGCGUUGAGCAUGUGCUUGAACUGUUUUCCCCUCUCGCCUUUUCGACCUCUGCGCACCCCACCCAUCAUGAGAGUGUGGUUCAGAGCUGCUGCGCGGGCUGUGCCUCGCACGUCUGUGGCUGAGCUUGUGUGUGCGUGUGUGAGGGCACGCGCGUGCAUGGCAGACGGCCUCGAAACAGCGACAGCGCGCUGUCGGUGCGUUUUUUUUUCUGAUCUCUGUGCAUGCCUCUUUCUCUUCACCUCUUCCGUGUUGUCUCUCCCCUUUCGCUCUCUGGAG
rnacentral:misc_RNA from 1 species